UUACUCCUGCCGUGUGCGUGGGACCGAGAUGGGGUUUUGAGCCAACACUUUAAAAAAACGGGAACCUAAUGUCUAGGGUGAGGACGCAAUAGCCUUAAGGCAAAGCUGAUCCACCCGGCAGGUACCCACCUGCGUAAGCAGGGUCAAAACCAGCGGUGCACGGCACGGCGGGGCCUGA
rnacentral:other from 1 species